GCAAGCCAAGGACGGGUAAGAUUCUGUACAGAGCCUUACCAAUCUAAGACAUAAGUGCAUUGCUGAUGAGAACGAAUAUUUCAUGAUCAGAAACAACAUCCCAGGGAAGUGUUUCUCCAUGAUCAACCUGAAAAGCAAAAGGCAGAUGCAACUGUGUUUUAAGGAGACUAGACUACACCUUGAGUUAGCAACAGAACAUGACAAUACUAUCCAUUUGAUACUUGUUUCAUAGGCAUAAAAGAAGCAAAAAGAAAAAUGAGGAAGGGGAAUUCCUGAAUGCCUAUGUUAAGGUUUCACAUGGGUUUAUAAGGACAAAUUAGAUUCCUGUGAGAAGCACUAGGAGGGUAUUUUUUAUAUGACUCUGAAUGUGAAGUCCAAGCUGUAAUAGAGACUACAAGAUAUCAGAGAAACCAUGGUCUGAGGUCAGUCAUCAAGUGAAUGGAUUGUUGCCUUAAGAGAGAUGCAAUGUGUGCCACAAAAGACUGCCAAGGUGGAGCAGAAAAGCUACUGAAGUUCUUUUGGAAAGCUACAGACUGGGUGUGGAACCAUCUCAAGAGAAAGAAGUGUGUUACAACCAGCAAAGCUAAGAAGAGUGGAGAUCUGAAGAGCACUUCAACAUCAGAUAUGGAGAUGCAGAAUUUGGAGUUUUCCCUGUUGAGCUUUGGUCUUGCUUUGAUAAAGUAUUCCCUUACUGUGCUCUCUUUUGUCCAUUUUGGAAUGGCAAUGCAUGUUCUGGACCAUUAAGUGUUGCAAGUACGUGACCUGCUUCUUUAUUUUAAGUUUACCAGGAGUUACAAUUAAACAAUUUCCUUGAAUCUGA